UGCGGAAGGAUCAUUACCGAGUUGAUUCGGGCUCCGGCCCGAUCCUCCCACCCUUUGUGUACCUACCUCUGUUGCUUUGGCGGGCCGCGGUCCCCCGCGGCCGCCCCCCCUCCCCGGGGGGUGGCUAGUGCCCGCCAGAGGACCAUCAAACUCCAGUCAGUGAACGUCGCAGUCUGAAAAAACAUUCAAUAAACUAAAACUUUCAACAACGGAUCUCUUGGUUCUGGCAUCGAUGAAGAACGCAGCGAAAUGCGAUAAGUAAUGUGAAUUGCAGAAUUCAGUGAAUCAUCGAAUCUUUGAACGCACAUUGCGCCCCUUGGUAUUCCGAGGGGCAUGCCUGUUCGAGCGUCAUUACAACCCUCAAGCUCUGCUUGGUAUUGGGCACCGCCCUUCUUCGGGCGCGCCUCAAAGACCUCGGCGGUGGCUGUCUUGCCUCAAGCGUAGUAGAAUACACCUCGCUUCGGAGCGCAGGGCGUCGCCCGCCGGACGAACCUUCUGAACUUUUCUCAAGGUUGACCUCGGAUCAGGUAGGGAUACCCGCUGAACUUAAGCAUAUCAAUAAGCGGAGGAA
rnacentral:rRNA from 1 species